UCAAAGCUCGAUCUCCAUCUCAAAGCCCGACUGGAUCUCGAUCUCCAUCUCAAAGCUCGAUCUCGAUCUCGAUCUCGAUCCAUCGCAGUAAGAACUCCAAGCCGCAAAUUGAGCACUUCUUCAAGCUCUUCUGAUUGCCUUCUCAUCCGUCAACAAUUGCAGGAUGACAAAGAAAGGGAAACAAAUUGCAUCUCAUUCAAGAUCAUAUGUUGUGUGGAAUCGUGAUAUGGACGCAGCUUUAGCCAAUGUGUUGUAUGAUCAAAUGAACCAAGGAUUAAAAGUCGAUGGUACUUGGAAGCCUCAAGUGUAUCAAGUUGCGGUUGAUGCAUUAAAAUCAUUUAAUAGCAACUUGAACAAAGAUAACGUGAAAAAUCGACUCAAAAUUUGGAAAACCCAUUAUAAUGUUAUCUAUGACAUUAAAAAUAAAAGUGGUUUGACGUGGUGGGAUGAUGAGAAGAAAAUGGUGAUUAUACCCGCUAGUGAGCAAAAAGUAUGGAACGACUAUGUUACGGCUAAUCCAGAUGCAAAAGGCUACCAGAAUCGUUUGAUU